AUUACAAGUUUUUUGUCAAACAAUAAGAAAUAAAAACAACAGUACAGAAGUUUGUAUCAAAUACACAAAAGUACACAGCUUAGGUUAAUACACUGAACUAAAAUAAGUGUAGUAUUAUGUAAGGAUAUUACGCCUGGUUUAUUUAUUGACCAGGCGUACUCAUUUGCAUAUUACGCCUAUUUUUUUGUGAACCAGGCGUACUCAUUUAAAUAUUACGCCUAAUUUUACGCCUUAUUUACGCCAAGUUUACGCCUGGUUGACGCCUGGACAUGCAUUUUGUAAACACUGCAAUGCCGCCAGGAUAAAGUAUGAUUUUUACGCCUGGUUUUCGUGUCAUAUACGGGCGUCACAGUUCGUACAGG
rnacentral:lncRNA from 1 species